rnacentral:rRNA from 1 species
UGGGGAAUCUUGGACAAUGGGCGCAAGCCUGAUCCAGCCAUGCCGCGUGAGUGAAGAAGGCCUUAGGGUUGUAAAGCUCUUUUGCCAGGGACGAUAAUGACGGUACCUGGAGAAUAAGCCCCGGCAAACUUCGUGCCAGCAGCCGCGGUAAUACGAAGGGGGCUAGCGUUGUUCGGAUUUACUGGGCGUAAAGCGCACGUAGGCGGAUCGUUAAGUCAGGGGUGAAAUCCCGGAGCUCAACUCCGGAACUGCCUUUGAUACUGGCGAUCUUGAGGCUGGAAGAGGUUAGUGGAAUUCCCUGUGUAGAGGUGAAAUUCGUAGAUAUUGGGAAGAACACCAGUGGAGAGGGCGGCUAACUGGUACAGAUCUGACGCUGAGGUGCGAACGGGUGGGGAGCAAACAGG